AAAGUAUAGUGUGGGCACUUUCAAAGAAACUCCUUAAAACUUUCCCAAGCUUUGUAUAUUGAUUAUCCAUCUAAUUACACGAAUUAUGUGAUAUCAUUCCUAAUCUU